CAGGGCUGUGUCCACCAUGGCCUGGACCCCUCUCCUCCUUGUGAUCCUCUCUCACUGCACAGGUUCCCUCUCCCAGCCUGUGGUGACCCAGCCGCCCUCCCUCUCUGCAUCCCUGGGAUCCUCUGUGAGACUCACCUGCACCCUCAGCAGUGGCUUCAGUGUUGGUGGCUACUACAUAAACUGGUACCAGCAGAAGCCAGGGAGCCCUCCCCAGUAUCUCCUGCACUACUACUCAGACUCAGACAAGUACCAGGGCUCUGGGGUCCCCAGCCGCUUCUCUGGAUCCAAGGAUGCCUCAGCCAAUGCAGGAAUUUUGCUCAUCUCUGGGCUUCAGGCUGAAGAUGAGGCUGACUAUUACUGUUUUAUCUGGAACAGCAAUGCUGCUGUGUUCGGCGGAGGGACCCAGCUGAUCGUCACCGGUGGACCCAAGUCCCCACCCACAGUCAAUGUGUUCGCACCGUCCACUGAGGAGCUGGCCACCAACAAGGCCACGGUGACAUGUCUCUUGAGUGGAUUCUACCCAGGAAGUGUAGACAUCAAGUGGAAGAAAGACGGCACCGUCAUCUCCCAGGGCGUGCAGACCACCAAGGCCUCCAAGCAGGCUGACAACAAGUACACGGCCAGCAGCUACCUGACCCUGACGGGCAGCGAGUGGAAGGCAGGACGCACUUACAGCUGCCAGGUGACGCACGAAGGGAGCACCAUCGAGAAGAAAGUUGCCGCUGCAGACUGCUCUUAGAUCCCCGACCCUCAGCCCUUCCCGCGAAGGCCUGACGUGCUGGACCCUGCUGGGGGUCUCCCCUUGCCCACCCUCACCCAUCCCAGCCCUUCUGCCCAAACCCAGUCCACUCUCAAUAAAGGAUGGUCAUUUCAAUCACAA